rnacentral:tRNA from 1 species
CGGAGUGUAGCGCAGUCUGGUAGCGUAUCUGGUUUGGGACCAGGUGGUCGGGGGUUCAAAUCCCUCCACUCCGA